GACCGAGUCAGGAGUAAGAUGUUUGUGUCUUCUCUUAUGGAAGGGAAAGCUAUUCUUCUUUGCCUUAUGGUGCUUGUGCACGUAGGAAAUUCCAUUCAUAUUGGUAAGAAAUCGAUCUCCCCAUCCCUAUAUAUGGUUCCGUUCUCCUAUCAACCGAAGUAGGAUAAUAUUGUCACUUAAACAUCAUGAAUAUUUUCAUAUUUUUUUCCAAUUUGGACUUUUUUUAUGGUGUGUGUUUUUCUUUACAGAUAAAUGCAAGUAUAGAGUUCACCCGCAAAGAACAACAUGCAAGGAUGUAACUGCUUCUAUCGGCCGUGAGUGCAAUCUGUCAAAAUGCCAGGGGACCUGCAAAGAUUUGUUUGGAGCGGAACUCACAGCCUCAUGGUGUAUCAACCCCGUCCCAUACUAUUGGCAUUGUAGGUGUCGUAUCUGUCAUGUCGGUGAGUAUUGAUCUGGACAAAUGAUGUGAUCCAAUAAUAAAAUCUUCCAGUGACAUGCAUCUAAGAAUACAUAACGAUUGCCAAAUUUAGGUGUUCUAUUCGAUUUUGUCAUGUGCAAUAUUGAUCUGGUAAUUUUAGGUUUGCAUGGCCUCGUGAUUUAUAAGUUAAAAAAAACCAACCUUAUACGACAUGAAUGAAUCGACCUAACUAUACCGGCAGUCCCGUUUCUGAUGGGCCCAGAACACAAGGAAGUAGUAUAUAUUUCUCUAGUCGGUGAGUAUGUUUAGUGGUAGAAACUUGUAGGAUCAGAUAUCGACCAGAG
rnacentral:lncRNA from 1 species